UUGGACCUGAUAUCAAACAAG
rnacentral:rRNA from 1 species